rnacentral:misc_RNA from 1 species
GAUUUGGCGAAAUUAAUCCCUAAUUGAAACCUGAAACAAAGAACCCCCUCAAAAAUAAUUCAACACUCCCAUCGUCUCUGUUCUAUUGUUAUUAUUUUCGAUUCGAUUGCAAAUAUCUGCUUUUUCUUCUCAUCUUUUUAUUCUAGUCUUCAUCUUUAAUCGUCAUCCUCUGUUUUGGCGUAAACCGUAAACAGCGAGCGUGUUAAUUCGCACGUGCGAUUGGGCAGACGUCGACGAUCAUCAUUGUUUUGUAAAACCUACGGAUUUUUCUCUCAAUUCGAAGCUCCGAUCGCUGUUAUUCUCUCUCAAUUGCACCUUCAGGUGGACAUUUGGCCCAUACUGUUGGAGUUACAGCAUCAUGAGUAGGUAAUAGGUAAGGCAUAAAGGAGAUGAAUGUGCAGGCGCAUAUAUCUGGGCAGGUUCCUAAUCAGUUGCCCCAGCAGAAUGGGAAUCCGCUCCCUGCUGCCCAGUUGCAGAAUUUAGCUGCUGCUAGUGGUGGAGUUGUGACUUCUCCUAAUAUGUUCACCAUGGACCCUGAGCUUCAUAGAGCUCGCAUUGUUAUUCGAGAAAAAAUAUUUGCAAUUAUCUUACAGAGGCAGCCUCAGCCAGUUGGUGAGCCACAGAAACAGAAAUAUAAGGAUAUUGCAAAACGCCUAGAGGAAUGUUUAUUUAAAGCUGCUCAGUCAAAGGAGGACUAUAUGAACCUAAAUACCUUAGAGAGUCGUCUUAGUUGUCUGAUCAAACGCGCACCUGUGAAUAACCAGAACCAACGACAUGUGCAACUUGUUAAUCCUUCUUCUUCCAUUGGUACCAUGAUACCAACCCCGGGCAUGUCACACAGUGGGAAUUCCAACUUGAUGGUAUCUUCAGUAGAUACCAUGAUGAUUGCUUCCAGUGGAUGUGAGAGUGUAUCAGUGACAACUGUGAAUACGGGAAGCCUGUUGCCGACUAGUGGUUUACAUGGUGGUUCCUUCAGUAGAUCCGAUGGAGCUUUGUCUAAUGGAUAUCAGCAAACACCAGCCAAUUUUUCCAUUAGCUCUGGUGGGAAUAUGUCAUCCAUGGGUGUGCAAAGAAUGACAAGCCAGAUGAUUCCAACUCCUGGAUUUAAUAGCAAUAAUAAUAACAAUAGUAAUAAUCAAUCUUAUGUGAAUAUGGAGUCAUCUAGUAAUGUUGGUGGUUAUUCAACUGUUGAAUCUGCAAUGGCAUCACAGCCACAGCAGCAAAAGCAGUAUGCUGGUGGUCAAAACAGUCGCAUACUGCAGAAUCUUGGCAGCCAAAUGGGUAGCAAUAUUAGAUCUGGAUUGCAGCAAAAAUCCUAUGGGUUCUCAAAUGGAGCUCUAAAUGGUGGAAUGGGGAUGAUUGGGAACAAUAUACAGCUUGUGACUGAACCUUGUGCCUCUGAGGGCUAUAUGACUGCCACACCAUAUACUAGUUCACCCAAACCAUUGCAACAGCAUUUUGAUCAACAACAGCGGCAAAUAAUCCAUGGUGAGGGAUAUGGAAUAAAUAAUGCUGGUUCAUUUGGAUCUGGAAACUUUUAUGGUGCAGUAACGUCUGUUGGAUCAAUGAUGAAUGCUCAGACUCCUGUGAGCUUGCAGCCCACGGCCAAAACUCACUCACCUGUGGUAAAUAAUCAGUCAAAUUUACAUGGAAUGCACCAAGCUGCACAUAUAAAACCUCAAUUAGUUGAUCAAUCUGAAAAGAUGAAUUUUCAGUCUCCAAUACCUUCUAGGGACAGCGUCCUACAAUCUAACCAACAACAGCAAUUUCUGCAAAAACUUCAUCAAUUUCCACAACAGCAAUUUGUUGAGCAACAAUGCAUUACCAAGCAGCAAAAUGAACAGUAUCAACCUCCUUUUCAUGAUGCUCUUGAUCAGUUUCAGCUAUCCAAUCCUAGUAAUCAGGUGAAGCAUGAGCCGGGAGUGUUUCACCUGAGCCUGGAGUGGAGAAUCAUAUAAUAAAAUUCUGCACUCACAAACCUCUCAAUAGUUCCAAAUGUCUCUGUUGCAAAAUCAAUUCUAGUAGAAUGUUGCUAAGGAUCAUUCUCGGGGUGCUUAAAAUCUCUCUCUGCCAUCUGGACAUCAUGACAUGUAUUCAUCGUUGGCACACAAUUCAUAGCAAAUGAAACAGAUAUUGCAUCCACAUCAACUGGUUUCGAAAUCUCAAAGCGAUUUUAUUUGCCAUCCUGUUAGAACACCAUCAGAUAUAAUAUUGCAGGGUCAAUGGCAUCCUCAUUUGCAGGACAGAGCUGUUAUCCCUAGCAUUUCACUUGAACAGAAUUUCUAAGAGGAUUUCCAUCAGAAAAUAUCUAGUUAGGAUGAAGCUCAAUGAAAUAAUUUAACUUCAGAAGGUUCUAAUAUUGUUCAAAAUGUUUCUCCUACAAACUCUUCAGAGACUCAAAAUUCAAAUGGUGUCAUUUAUAUAUCAGAAAGUGCAAAUGGAGAUCGACAAUUUAGAAAUCAGCAGAAGUGGCUUUUGUUCUUGUGUCAUGCUUGUGAUGUACAGCUCUUGAAGGGAAUUGUUCAGAUGUUAAUUGCAUUCUGUGCAAAAGUUGCUGAGACACAUGGACGAAUGCAAUUCAUCUUCUAGAAAGAGAGAGAAGAGAAAAAGAGAGUGGAAGGAGAGAUAAGAGAGAAGGUGU